AGAGAGAGAGGUGGUGGUCACAGUUUAGAGGAAAACCGCUUAUUCAGUUGUGAUGAAACCUGGUAAGAACAGUAUUUAGCAUAAGUUAUUUAGGAUGUUAGAUGAUAAGGAUAUAUGGGGUGUCUGUCUGUCAGUACAUUUGUCCAUCUGUGUGUCAUUCUUACAUUUUUCCAUAUAUCUGGAAAAUCGCUUUUCUGACUAUGAUUAAACCUGAUAUUAACAUUAUUUAGCAUCAGUUAUAGGGAAUAUCAGACUGUGGGGACAAACAGGUGUCUCUCUGUCUGUACAUCAGUCUGUCUGUACAGAACUGGAAUGAGCUGAUAUCAUGAAAUGAGCCUUAGCCAAUCGCGUAAAUGGGACUGAAUCCAUCUACUAUCGAAUUCCCAGCUCUCACACAGAGUGCCGACAGAACAUUGUUACUGCACUGUCUGAGAAAGUUAUCCCUGGAAUCGCUAAGCAUGUGCGACACACAGGGGAAAAACUGUAUCUACAUGAUUGGAUUUGGCAUCACCCUGGUGUGGGGCAGGUUCUCCUGGUAUAUCCUGGGUCCCUUGAUUGCUCUGGAUGGCUGGACUGAUGCCUGGACUCAUUUAUAUAAACAGAGACUUCAGGCACCUUCCAUGGCCACCCCAACCCCAGAUCUCAAUCCAGUUAAGCAUGUUUGGGAUGAACUUGAACAAUGCAUUAAUCAUCACAAUCCCCUUCUCAGUACUGAUUUUGAGACACCUUCCAGGACCUUGUGGAAUCUAUUCUAUGUCGUGUCAAGACUUUGAUGAAUGCAAAUGGUGGCCCAACCCAAAACUAGGCAGAGGUCCUUAUUAAGUGGCCAGGCACUGUGUAUUGAUGUUGGUAACAAAGCCAACAUGGACAAGAAUGUUACAAUGCAGUUUUAAAUAGACUUUGAUACCCUGUCUUAAAGGGUUUCAAACAAAAUUAACA